rnacentral:misc_RNA from 1 species
GAUGAAGAACGUAGCGAAAUGCGAUAAGUAAUGUGAAUUGCAGAAUUCAGUGAAUCAUCGAAUCUUUGAACGCACAUUGCGCCCGUCAGUAUUCUGGCGGGCAUGCCUGUUCGAGCGUCAUUACGCCCCUCAAGUCCCCUGUGGACUUGGUGUUGGGGAUCGGCGAGGCUGGGUUUCCAGCACAGCCGUCCCUUAAAUUAAUUGGCGGUCUCGCCGUGGCCCUCCUCUGCGCAGUAGUAAAACACUCGCAACAGGAGCCCGGCGCGGUCCACUGCCGUAAAACCCCCCAACUUUUUAUAGUUGACCUCGAAUCAGGUAGGACUACCCGCUGAACUUAAGCAUAUCAAUAAGCGGAGGA